rnacentral:rRNA from 1 species
GACGAACGCUGGCGGCGUGCUUAACACAUGCAAGUCGAACGGAAAGGCCCUGCUUUUGUGGGGUGCUCGAGUGGCGAACGGGUGAGUAGCACGUGAGUAACCUGCCCUUGACUUUGGGAUAACUUCAGGAAACUGGGGCUAAUACCGGAUAGGAGCUCCUGCUGCAUGGUGGGGGUUGGAAAGUUUCGGCGGUUGGGGAUGGACUCGCGGCUUAUCAGCUUGUUGGUGGGGUAGUGGCUUACCAAGGCUUUGACGGGUAGCCGGCCUGAGAGGGUGACCGGCCACAUUGGGACUGAGAUACGGCCCAGACUCCUACGGGAGGCAGCAGUGGGGAAUAUUGCACAAUGGGCGGAAGCCUGAUGCAGCAACGCCGCGUGCGGGAUGACGGCCUUCGGGUUGUAAACCGCUUUCGCCUGUGACGAAGCGAGAGUGACGGUAAUGGGUAAAGAAGCACCGGCUAACUACGUG